UCCGAGAUAGCUCAGCUGGCAGAGCAGCUGACUGUUAAUCAGCGGGUCGCAGGUUCGAGCCCUGCUCUCGGAGC
rnacentral:tRNA from 2 species